rnacentral:rRNA from 1 species
AGGGAAUCUUCCACAAUGGACGCAAGUCUGAUGGAGCAACGCCGCGUGAGUGAAGAAGGUUUUCGGACCGUAAAGCUCUGUUGUUGGUGAAGAAGGAUAGAGGUAGUAACUGGCCUUUAUUUGACGGUAAUCAACCAGAAAGUCACGGCUAACUACGUGCCAGCAGCCGCGGUAAUACGUAGGCGGCAAGCGUUGUCCGGAUUUAUUGGGCGUAAAGCGAGCGCAGGCGGAAGAAUAAGUCUGAUGUGAAAGCCCUCGGCUUAACCGAGGAAUUGCAUCGGAAACUGUUUUUCUUGAGUGCAGAAGAGGAGAGUAGAACUCCAUGUGUAGCGGUGGAAUGCGUAGAUAUAUGGAAGAAUACCAGUGGCGAAGGCGGCUCUCUGGUCUGCAACUGACGCUGAGGCUCGAAAGCAUGGGUAGCGAACAGGAUUAGAUACCCUGGUAGUCCAUGCCGUAAACGAUGAGUGCUAAGUGUUGGGAGGCUUCCGCCUCUCAGUGCUGCAGCUAACGCAUUAAGCACUCCGCCUGGGGGAGUACGACCGCAAGGUUGAAAC